GUCUCCAUAGCUCAAUUGGAUAGAGCAACAGACUUUUAAUCUGUAGGUUGUGAGUUCGAGUCUCACUGGAGAUACA
rnacentral:tRNA from 1 species